rnacentral:misc_RNA from 1 species
GAUGAAGAACGCAGCGAAAUGCGAUACUUGGUGUGAAUUGCAGAAUCCCGUGAACCAUCGAGUCUUCGAACGCAAGUUGCGCCCGAAGCCAUUAGGCCGAGGGCACGCCUGCCUGGGCGUCACACGUCGUUGCCCCCCCAUCUACUCCUUCGGGAUUGCGGGGGGCGGAUGAUGGCCUCUCGUGCGCCUCGUCGCGCGGUUGGCCUAAAUGCCAAGUCCUCGGCGACGCACGCCACGACAAUCGGUGGUUGCGAAACCUCGGUUGCCUGUCGUGUGCGGUCGUCGCGCAUCGAGGGCUCGAAAAAAUUGCCGGGCUUCGGCUCGACUUUCAACGCGACCCCAGGUCAGGCGGGGUUACCCGCUGAAUUUAAGCAUAUCAAUAAGCGGAGGA